AACGAACGCUGGCGGCAGGCUUAACACAUGCAAGUCGAGCGCCCCGCAAGGGGAGCGGCCGACGGGUGAGUAACGCGUGGGAACGUACCUUUUGGUUCGGAACAACUCCGGGAAACUGGAGCUAAUACCGGAUAAGCCCUAACGGGGAAAGAUUUAUCGCCGAAAGAUCGGCCCGCGUCUGAUUAGCUAGUUGGUGAGGUAACGGCUCACCAAGGCGACGAUCAGUAGCUGGUCUGAGAGGAUGAUCAGCCACACUGGGACUGAGACACGGCCCAGACUCCUACGGGGGGCAGCAGUGGGGAAUAUUGGACAAUGGGCGCAAGCCUGAUCCAGCCAUGCCGCGUGAGUGAUGAAGGCCUUAGGGUUGUAAAGCUCUUUUGUCCGGGAAGAUAAUGACUGUACCGGAAGAAUAAGCCCCGGCUAACUUCGUG
rnacentral:rRNA from 1 species